UUGAUGCCAAUCUUCCAGAGCCAAUAUCUCUUUUUUGCACUAUUUGAUUGAUCUCAAAAUUCUCAUACACAUAGAAAAACAAGUCUAAUAUCCUCUCAUAUAAGUUUCAUUCCAAUCCAACAAGUAGAUUGUAAGAAAUCUUAAAAACCCUCAUUGGACCAAGAAUUCUACUUUUUGAGACCUUGACUCACUUAAACCUCCAUAAUCUUCAAUUCAACUAUUAGAUCGAGCUCAAAUUCAAAACACAUAUUGAAUAUAACUAUAACCAUUAACUUACAAAAUUCUAUAUGUAGAUCUAUUAAAAACUCUAGAAAUCAUCCAAAACAUAAAUCUUAUUUUAUUCUACAAAAUCCAAGCCAUCCAAAACAAACCUUGACUUUGCAAAGCUCUUACAAAGUCAUAACAACUCCAAAUC
rnacentral:lncRNA from 1 species